rnacentral:rRNA from 1 species
GACUCUCGGCAACGGAUAUCUCGGCUCUCGCAUCGAUGAAGAACGUAGCGAAAUGCGAUACUUGGUGUGAAUUGCAGAAUCCCGUGAACCAUCGAGUCUUUGAACGCAAGUUGCGCCCGAAGCCGUUAGGCGAGGGCACGCCUGCCUGGCGUCA